UACAGAGGUCCCAAGCGUUGUUCGGAUUCAUUGGGCGUAAAGGGUGCGUAGGCGGCGCGGGAAGUCGGGUGUGAAAUCUCGGAGCUUAACUCCGAAACUGCAUUCGAUACUGCGGUGCUUGAGGACUGGAGAGGAGACUGGAAUUCAUGGUGUAGCAGUGAAAUGCGUAGAGAUCAUGAGGAAGACCAGUGGCGAAGGCGGGUCUCUGGACAGUUCCUGACAGCUGAGAACACGAAGGACCAGGGGAGCAAACGGG
rnacentral:rRNA from 1 species